CCCACGUUCUCCUCCUCUUCAGUUCGCUCCCGUGCGGUCUCUUCGCUCCGUUGGCCCCGUCGGUGCCGACGCUCUCAUCUACUGGACUCGACCGAUCGAACUGUGCUUUUUAUGGCCGUUUUCUGCGGAAUUUCGCCUUCUUGGGAUUUGGUGAAGUCGUCUAAUUGUAUAUGUUGGUGACUUGAAGAUACAAUAGGUGAAAUGCCUAAUGAGCUUUUACCACUUUGUACGACAUUGGAAGAAAUUUGUGCUGUUAACUAUUACAGCACAAUUUGUGGGGCUCCACAAGGUCUUUGAGAUGAAGGCUGUGAUUGAUCAAAGACAAAGAUCCAGCAUGAAGCUACCAGGUUUAUUUGAAGGUACUCCUGGUAGUGUUUUCUAUGUGCUAAUCUUAUCCAUGACCUAAGAAUUCAGGCUGGCAGCAGCAACUUGGCAUAUUCUAUAGUGGACAUUUGUAUCAAAUCCCUAUGCUGAUAUGCGAAGUCAAUGAAUUGAAUCUGCAUCAUUGCCUCUUAUUUUGAUAGGUUUUAAGUUAGCAAUGCAAUUGAUUUACUU